AACGAACGCUGGCGGCAUGCCUAACACAUGCAAGUCGAACGAGACCUUCGGGUCUAGUGGCGCACGGGUGCGUAACGCGUGGGAACCUGCCUUUAGGUUCGGAAUAACUCAGAGAAAUUUGAGCUAAUACCGGAUGAUGUCUUCGGACCAAAGAUUUAUCGCCUUUAGAUGGGCCCGCGUUGGAUUAGCUAGUUGGUGGGGUAAAGGCCUACCAAGGCGACGAUCCAUAGCUGGUCUGAGAGGAUGAUCAGCCACACUGGGACUGAGACACGGCCCAGACUCCUACGGGAGGCAGCAGUGGGGAAUAUUGGACAAUGGGCGAAAGCCUGAUCCAGCAAUGCCGCGUGAGUGAUGAAGGCCUUAGGGUUGUAAAGCUCUUUUACCCGAGAUGAUAAUGUCAGUAGCGGGAGAAUAAGCUCCGGCUAACUCCGUG
rnacentral:rRNA from 1 species